CCGGUUUUCAUAUGUACCCCAAAUAUAUUAGCUACAAUGUUACAUUUUAUAUCCCCUGGUAGCCCUGAUCUGGGUGAGCAACAUAUAAAAAGAUCACCCAGAUCAGACCAGGGGUUCGGGAGUUAGGUGGAAGUAGCAAUUUGACCGACCGCACACGAGGCAGUAGCCGAAAGCACUUUCAUGUGUUUUGGCCUUGCGGUCAGUCUUUUUUCGGGGCGUAAAAAGCAUGAAAAUCCCUGCCAUUCAGG